CAGGCCUAACACAUGCAAGUCGAACGAAGGCUUCGGCCUUAGUGGCGCACGGGUGCGUAACGCGUGGGAAUCUGCCCCUCGGUUCGGAAUAACAGUUAGAAAUGACUGCUAAUACCGGAUGAUGACGUAAGUCCAAAGAUUUAUCGCCGAGGGAUGAGCCCGCGUAGGAUUAGCUAGUUGGUGUGGUAAAGGCGCACCAAGGCGACGAUCCUUAGCUGGUCUGAGAGGAUGAUCAGCCACACUGGGACUGAGACACGGCCCAGACUCCUACGGGAGGCAGCAGUGGGGAAUAUUGGACAAUGGGCGAAAGCCUGAUCCAGCAAUGCCGCGUGAGUGAUGAAGGCCUUAGGGUUGUAAAGCUCUUUUACCCGGGAUGAUAAUGACAGUACCGGGAGAAUAAGCCCCGGCUAACUCCGUGCCAGCAGCCGCGGUAAU
rnacentral:rRNA from 1 species